ACCUGGUGGGAGGUGAUUGAAUCAUCGGGCGGGUCCCGUGCUGUUCUCGUGAUAGUGAAUAAGUCUCACGAGAUCUGAUGGUUUUAAAAAUGGGAGCUUCCCUGCAGACGCUUUCUUCUCGUCUGUCGCCAUGUGAGAUGUACCUUUCACUUUCCUCCAUGAUUGUGAGGCCUCCUUAGCCACAUGGAACUGAAAUGCUGGAGUCCUUCAUCCGAAUGGUAAAUGGCACUUGUGACAAAAAUCAAAGUAACUAAAAAAGAAUCUGGUUGAAACCUCAGUAACAGUUGGCCUGUCUACUGCCUCACACUAACAAGUGACCCCCACCUUUACAAGUGUCUGUAAUUCUCACUAGCAGUAUAUUAGAGGGCAAAAGAUUUGAACAGACACAUCAGAAAAGAAGACAUACAAAUGGCCGCUAAGCACUUGAAAGGAUUCUGAACACCAUUAGUCAUCAGUGAAAUGCAAAUUAAAGCCAUAAUGAAUGGCGCUAUACAUUUUCAGAAUGGCAAGGAUUGAAGACCGAAAAAAAUCAAGCGUUGAGGAGAGUGACAAAUGGGGAGACAGCCGUGGUGCAUGAUCGCCGAAUAAAUACCAUGUGAGGAUACAGCAAGAAGGUGGCCAUCUACAAGCCAAGGAGACAGGCCUCAGAAGAAACCAACCCUUCUUACACCCUGGACUCAGACUUCUAAUCUCCAGAACUUGUUAAUGCACAAGGUCUUGUGUUGAAAAUGUAGAGCCACGAGAUAAAAGCAGCUUGGAUGGCUGACUCAUAUACAAGGACAACUGCCUGAGAGUCACCAGGGCUAUCAAGAAGUUUGCAGAAACAAGAAAUAAACUUUUACUGUUUUAAACUUUUGUGAAUUUUGGGUUUUGUUUAUCACCAAAUAAACCUAGUCUAUUCUGAUUGUUAUAAGUGGUUAAUUUGGGAAGUCAGAUAUAUUUAAAAUUGGCUUACUGCUGUAACAUAUACAGUCCAAAUUACAUAAUGGCUCAAAUGCAAUAGAAGUCUUUUUUUUUUUUGCUCACAUAUCACUUCACUGAGAUUCUGCAUUAAUUGUAAUGAUGAGGGUGAGGGUGUCUUAUAUCAUACAGUUGUUCAGCAACCCAGGAUGACCAACUUUGUAAUAUUUUUUCCCACUGGCUUCUAAAGUUCUCAUAGAUAGUAAAAUUCAUUUGGAAGAAGGAGAAACAGCAUGGAGGAUUGCAGAUGGAGAUUUUUAUGGGAAGGCUUGGAGGUUUGGAGGUUUAAUCGCAUGGAGAGAGAGAGCAUAGAACACGAGAAAUAUACCAAAACAACAGAGGUAAUGACCUCAGCUUUAGAGAUUUCCCAUUUUAUUAUAGUUUUAUUUCCAUUUAGAUAUGUCAUUUAGAUAUUAAGGUGUCACUGUCCAAUAAGGCAGUAUGAACCUGGGUUCUGGAUGAAGACUAGUCGGGAUAUUGUGUCAAUGACAGUAAUUGAAG
rnacentral:lncRNA from 1 species